rnacentral:rRNA from 1 species
UACGGGGGGGGCAAGCGUUGUUCGGAAUUACUGGGCGUAAAGGGCUCGUAGGUGGCCAACUAAGUCGGACGUGAAAUCCCUCGGCUUAACCGGGGAACUGCGUCCGAUACUGGUUGGCUUGAGUUUGGGAGAGGGAUGCGGAAUUCCAGGUGUAGCGGUGAAAUGCGUAGAUAUCUGGAGGAAAACCGGUGGCGAAGGCGGCAACCUGGACCAAUACUGACGCUGAGGAGCGAAAGCCAGGGGAGCAAACGGG